GCCUGAGUGGCUUAGUCGGUUGAGCAUCCUACUUCAGCUCAGGUCACGAUCUCAUGGUUUGUGGGUUCAAGCCCCACCUCAGGCC
rnacentral:tRNA from 1 species